rnacentral:rRNA from 1 species
UACGUAGGGGGCGAGCGUUGUCCGGAGUUACUGGGCGUAAAGAGCACGCAGGCGGUGCGCCGCGUUUUGGGUGACAGCGGACGGCUUAACUGUCCGAGCAUGCGAAAGACGGGCGCGACUGGAGGGCCAGAGAGGGACACGGAAUUCCGGGUGGAGUGGUGAAAUGCGUAGAGAUCCGGAGGAACACCGCAGGCGAAGGCAGUGUCCUGGCUGGUACCUGACGCUGAGGUGCGAAAGCCAGGGGAGCGAACGGG